GCUGUACGUGCUCAACGGCCGGCUGCGGGUGGUGCUCGGCGAGCACGACCUGGUGCUCGCGCCGGGCGAGGCGGCGGAGUUCGACACCCGGGUGCCGCAC
rnacentral:tRNA from 1 species